UACGUAGGGGGCUAGCGUUGUCCGGAAUCAUUGGGCGUAAAGCGCGUGUAGGCGGUCCGGUAAGUCCGCUGUGAAAGUCGGGGGCUCAACCCUCGGAUGCCGGUGGAUACUGUCGGGCUUGAGCACGGAAGAGGCGAGUGGAAUUCCUGGUGUAGCGGUGAAAUGCGCAGAUAUCAGGAGGAACACCAAUUGCGAAGGCAGCUCGCUGGGACGUUACUGACGCUGAGACGCGAAAGCGUGGGGAGCGAACAGG
rnacentral:rRNA from 1 species